CCCCACUACAGCCGAGCAGAGCGGCUGGGCGCGUGUUCGCCGGCGGCGACGCCCCUGCGUUCCUCGACCCCGAGUUCCAGUGGGUAAUCCCCUAUGCCCCAAAGUGCAAUACAACCUAUACUUCCUUGUGAAUGCGAUAGUGCUCUCUUACCGGUAAUGAAGUGACCAAAUGUCUUGGCCACAGCGUGGAUGGCUUCACAGCGGCGACGAAGUCGUCGACGAGAAAUUACGGUGUCCCUGAGGAUCCUCCGCGCCCACCAGUCGCAAGGACAGCUCCGCCCGCCGGUAGGACACGUCGAUGUUGGCCAGGGGAUCACGGAUGGCUUGUGAAUCGCGGAAUUGACCUCCAAUGCCCGCGGCGGCGCGCUCCCCUCCUCACUCGUGCUACAACGGCGCAAGGCUUAACUUGGGGUGGCUUGGUCAGGAACGGAGAUUAGGUGGCGG
rnacentral:lncRNA from 7 species